GAUCCUAGCUUGCUAGGAGGCGUCGAGCGGCGGACGGGUGAGUAAUGCAUAGGAAUCUGCCCGGUAGUGGGGGAUAACUUGAGGAAACUCAAGCUAAUACCGCAUACGCCCUACGGGGGAAAGCAGGGGCUCUUCGGACCUUGCGCUAUCGGAUGAGCUUAUGUCGGAUUAGCUGGUUGGUGAGGUAACGGCUCACCAAGGCGACGAUCCGUAGCUGGUCUGAGAGGAUGAUCAGCCACAUCGGGACUGAGACACGGCCCGAACUCCUACGGGAGGCAGCAGUGGGGAAUAUUGGACAAUGGGGGCAACCCUGAUCCAGCCAUGCCGCGUGUGUGAAGAAGGCCCUCGGGUUGUAAAGCACUUUCAGCGAGGAAGAAUGCUUGUCGGUUAAUACCCGGCAAGGGAGACAUCACUCGCAGAAGAAGCACCGGCUAACUCCGUGCCAGCAGCCGCGGUAAUACGGAGGGUGCGAGCGUUAAUCGGAAUUACUGGGCGUAAAGCGUGCGUAGGCGGCUUGAUAAGCCGGUUGUGAAAGCCCCGGGCUCAACCUGGGAACGGCAUCCGGAACUGUUAGGCUAGAGUGCAGGAGAGGAAGGUAGAAUUCCCGGUGUAGCGGUGAAAUGCGUAGAGAUCGGGAGGAAUACCAGUGGCGAAGGCGGCCUUCUGGACUGACACUGACGCUGAGGUACGAAAGCGUGGGUAGCAAACAGGAUUAGAUACCCCUGGUAGUCCACGCCGUAAACGAUGUCGACUAGCCGUUGGGGUCCUCGAGACCUUUGUGGCGCAGUUAACGCACUAAGUCGACCGCCUGGGGAGUACGGCCGCAAGGUUAAAACUCAAAUGAAUUGACGGGGGCCCGCACAAGCGGUGGAGCAUGUGGUUUAAUUCGAUGCAACGCGAAGAACCUUACCUACCCUUUGACAUCGUGCGA
rnacentral:rRNA from 1 species